UACCAGCUCUCCGAGUGGUGGGGAUGCUUAUUGGGCCUAAAGCAUUCGUAGCCGGCUGGGCAAGUCCUCCGUUAAAUCCAACGAUUCAAUCGUUGGCCUGCAGGGGAUACUGUUUGGCUAGGAGGCGGUAGAGGCCGACGGUAUUUCCGGGGUAGGGGUGAAAUCCUAUAAUCCCGGGAGGACCAUCAGUAGCGAAGGCUGUCGGCUGGAACGCGCUCGACGGUGAGGGAUGAAAGCUGGGGGAGCGAACCGGAUUAGAUACCCGGGUAGUCCCAGCUGUAAACUUUGCAGGCUGGGUGUUGGUGCGGCUACGUGCCGCUCCGGUGCCGUAGGGAACCGUUAAGCCUGCCGCCUGGGAAGUACGGUCGCAUGGCUGAAACUUAAAGGAAUUGGCGGGGAGCACUACAAGGGGUGAAGCUUGCGGUUU
rnacentral:rRNA from 1 species